GCGGAUGUGGCGAAAUUGGUAGACGCGCUAGACUUAGGAUCUAGUGUCGCGAGACGUGGGGGUUCGAGUCCCUUCAUCCGCA
rnacentral:tRNA from 1 species